rnacentral:sRNA from 1 species
CCCAUUCUGAUCCUGGUCCCACUGAAAAUCACGCCAAGAAAUGGACUGGGACCAAACCAAACCAAACCAAACAUGAAAUUCAUGGUCCCACCAGCCAGCCUACUUGUUUCUGACUGUUGUGAUCUUGUAUAACUCUCAAUGUUCUUCCACUCUGUGCUCUGUGCUUGUAUAGUUUCUAAUGAUUCUUUCAUAUAGCUCUUAACAUUCUUCUGCUCUGUGCUCUGUGCUCAUAUAGUCUCUAAUGAUUCUUCUGUGUAGUUUCUAAUGUUCUUUCACUUUAUGUUUCACACUCAUAUAGCCUCUAACAAUUCUUCUGUGUAGCUUUCAAUGAUUUCUCCACUCCACACUCCACACUUGUGUAGUUUCUAAUGAUUCUUACACAUAUCUCUUAAUAUUCUUUCACUUCACACUUCACUGUGAAGUGACUUCUGAUAUUCUUUCAUCUCAAACUUCUCUUUAUAAGAAUUCUCUUUGUACAAUUUUUUCUUCUGAUUUCUUUUCUCUUUCUUUUCUUAAUCAAUUCAUAAUCUGUAUUAGAAUAGUGUU